CACGUAGGGGGCAAGCGUUGUCCGGAUUUAUUGGGCGUAAAGAGCUCGUAGGUGGCUCGGUAAGUCGGGUGUUAAACCCCCAGGCUCAACCUGGGGACGCCACUCGAUACUGCUGUGGCUAGAGUCCGGUAGGGGAGCGUGGAAUUCCUGGUGUAGCGGUGAAAUGCGCAGAUAUCAGGAGGAACACCAGCGGCGAAGGCGGCGCUCUGGGCCGGUACUGACACUGAGGCGCGAAAGCUAGGGUAGCAAACGGG
rnacentral:rRNA from 1 species